ensembl:snRNA U2 U2 spliceosomal RNA
UUAUUUUUAAACAUUUUCUAAUAAACUUUUAAAUCUGUUCUUAUCAGUUUAAUAUCUGAUAUGUCCUUUCUUUGAGGACUGUAUAUUCAAUUGAAUUUUGAAACAGAGGACUGGAAUAGGAGCUUGCUCUGUCCACUCCAUGCAUUGACCUGGUAUUGCAGUGUCUCCAGGACUGGUGCCUCUCCU